GAUGAACGCUGGCGGCGUGCCUAAUACAUGCAAGUCGAGCGAACAGACGAGGAGCUUGCUCCUCUGACGUUAGCGGCGGACGUGUGAGUAACACGUGGAUAACCUACCUAUAAGACUGGUAUAACUUCGGGAAACCGGAGCUAAUACCGGAUAAUCUAUUGAACCGCAUGGUUCAAUAGUGAAAGACGGUUUUGCUGUCUCUAAUAGAGGCAUCUGGGCCGCAUUAGCUAGUUGGUAAGGUAACGGCUUACCAAGGCGACGAUGCGUAGCCGACCGGAGAGGGGGAUAGGCCACCUGGGAACUGGGACACGGUCCAGACUCCUGCGGGAGGCAGCAGUAGGGAAUGUGACGCAAUGGGCGAAAGCUUGACGGAGCAAGGCCGCGUGAGUGAUGAAGGUCUUCGGAUCGGAAAACUCUGUUAUGAGGGAAGAACAAAUGUGUAAGUAAAUAUGCACGUCUUGACGGUAACUAAUCAGAAAGCCACGGCUAACUACGUG
rnacentral:rRNA from 1 species